rnacentral:lncRNA from 1 species
UUUUUAUUUUUUUUCCAUUAUAGUGGGUUUACAGUGUUCUGUCAAUUUUCUACUGUACACCCCUCCAAUUUCCCUCCAGUGUCUCUGACUGGUGGAACUCAGUCUAAAGCCCGUUGACCCAUGAACCUGGGCAGGGGAAGAAAGAGGAAAUAGACUUGGCAGAAAACUGACCAAGGAUUAACCCUUGGCUACAAGAAUGAAAUGAGUGUUGCUGUUGAAAGCCACUGAGCUUUGGGGUCUAUAUAACAGCAAAAGCUAACUGAUAUGGACCUUCACAAACACCACCAAGUAGGUAAAUAAGCGGACAGAAAAGUGAGAGAAGGAGUUCCCGUCAUGGUGCUAUGGGAAUGAAUCCGACUAGGAACCAUGAGGUUGCGGGUUCGAUCCCUGCCCUUGCUCAGUGGGUUAACGAUCCAGCGUUGCCGUGAGCUGUGGUGUAGGUCGCAGACGCGGCUUGGAUCCCGCGUUGCUGUGGCUCUGGCGUAGGCUGGUGGCUACAGCUCCGAUUUGACCCCUAGCCUGGGAACCUCCAUAUGCCACGGGAGCGGCCCAAAUGGCAAAAAGACCAAAAAAUAAAUAAAUAAAUAAAAAUAAAGGCAUUAGUUUAAAAAAAAAAAAAGCAUUUAUCCAAUUAAAUAGAGCCUCCAUAGAACUGGCUUCAAAAACUUUUUUAAAAGUCUUCAGUGGCAAAUGCAGUCACAGCAGUUAGUGGCUUUCUAGCUGUUCUGACCUGCAGUUUAGAAAUACGUUUAUAUCAGAGUACAUACAUACCUACACAUACUUAUAUAACUGAAACAAAAGUUUCAUAAAGUGGCACUUGACCCUUACCCCUGGUUAUUCUUGUAUGCAAUGGACCCUGUACUUUCUUUUCUAUUCUUAUGUUCUGGUCUAUUCUCUUCCCCUCCAUUAAAAAAAAAAAAAAAAAAGUGGGUCUGGACACACUAAAUGGACUCCAUGACCCAAUAAUGGGUUGCAACCCACACUGAAAAACACUGGCCUAAAGAACAUUCUGGAAGUCAACCAAAGGUCACAUGCUAUUUCUUUCUUUAAAAAAAAAAAUCCAUUGCUGAUAAGGCCACUCCAGCUUCACUUUUUAAUGAGAAGAGGAAAAAAAAAAAAGACACAGCUCCAGGGCCAUGCAUGUAGUUAAGCAUAAAAAUAUUUGUUAAAUUUAAGAAGCCACUAGGAAUUUCUGUGUGGCCCAGCAAGUUAAGAAUCUGGCAUUAACAAGGCAGUGACUCGGUUGCUGCUGUUGCACAGGUUUGAUCCCUGGCCUGGGAACUUCCACGUGUCACGGGCAUGGCCAAAAAAAAACAUAUGUAUGUAUUUCUGUGUUAUGGGUAAAGUAACAGAAAGGAACAGAGAGGCCAAGACUUAAAGAAGACAAAGGAGAAUUCCAAUAAUGGACAUACGUCUAGGUAACAUGCCCAAUUUUUUGAGCAAGACACUGCCAGAGGUUUUGCUUCCUUAAUCACCGGAGAUGCUUUGAUUCACUGGCCUAAGGCCAAGAAGCAAAAGAUAAAAAGUCCCAUCCCAAAAGGGCAGAAGAGUUCAACAGGGCUUGGUAAUUUACCUUAUUUCAAAAGACUGAAAUAAACUAUACCUUUUAAAAUGAGGGAAUAAUUGCCUGCAAAAUCAAGGACUCCAGUUUAAAUCAAUCCAGAAUGGCUAUAGCACAGAUCGCAUCAAAGAACAAAAUGUAGCCAAACAAAAUGAGCAUCAGAGUAGAUAACCUUGCAUAAUGGAAUCAUUAUUAAAUAAUAUCCCUCAAGAUCCUCUCCUGAGACCCCUCUUCCUUCAACAGAUAAUGAUGCUGACAGCUAUAACGGAAUAGGCUAUCGUUAAUAAAAAUAGCUCUCAUUUCUCAAGAGCCCACUUAGGGCCAGGCACUGUGCUAGGUACUUACUAUACCUUAUCACUACUCUCAUAACAAGCUUGCAUGGGAGCUGUUAUUGCCAUCUUACACAAGAGAAAACUGAGGUCCAUAAGGAGGAAGGCAGAAGUCUCAAUCAGAGAGUGGAAGAGGUAUGGGUAUGAGAGAGGAAGGGUCCUGGGAACAUGCUUAUGGUUCCACGGGAAGGGCAGGAAGAACCAAAAAAAUUUGGGAUACUUGGAGUAUCAUCAGUGGUCAAAUGCAUUUCUUGGCAAUUUGGAGGACAUUUUUUUUCUUUUGGCCAUGCCUGCAGCAUGCAGAAGGAAGUUCUGGAGCCAGAGAUCAAACCCACACCAUAGCAGUGACCCAAGCCACGGCAGUGACAAUGCCAGAUCCUUAACCUGCUAGGCCACCAGGGAACUCCUGGAGGAUACCUUUUAAAUGCACAGAAUUUCUUCUAACAUGUGAUGAACUGCUUUAUACAACUUUUCUCUAUCUAACUCUAGGGACAUUUUCCAAUUCUGAGUUUACAGUGAGAAAGAAACUAUGUUUGAAAUAACUAGAAGUGCUCAUAAAAAAUUAAAAUAUGACCAGCUGAUAGACUGUUCUGUAACAUCAAGGAGGCUCCAAACUCAGUGCUCUUUCCACUGCUUUAUUUGGAAACACUGGGAUGAUAAAGUGGGUUGUUUGAUGCCUGCUUCUGAGGCUGUGCCAUAGAAGGCUCCAACUUCCAGAGUACCUACGCCCCAGCUGGUGGUUUGGGACCAACAUGGUAUAUUUGGUCAUAAACAGGAACAGCAGGUGUCUGCCCCGUUCAGCAUGGGGAAGCAGCUCAGAAUCCUGCAGAGACUGCAGACACCUGAGUCUAUGCAGUAGAAGGUAUGAGGACAUGAGAGCUCUAGAGAUCCUCUUCAAUUUUCAAGAUCUUAGUAAACAAGAAAAAUAAAUACUAUAUAUGUAUACCAUAGAAAACAUUUUUUUUUCUUUAGGGAAAAAAAUGAUUAUAUGCAGUUUUUAAGUCAAAAGUUAAGAAAAUGGAAACGUGACCUCUCAAAAGCAGAAACUCAAUCUCGAUGGUUACAUCAAAAAAGAGAAAUGAACUGUUGCUGAAAUUGGAGGCAGAAGAUUCCCCACCCUGGUCACAUCCUCUGUCAAACGCACAAGCCUUGGAAAGUGUUAGAAACUGAGCCCACCCACUUCCAAGGAAUUCAACACCACUGCAGCAUUCUUCUCCAAACUGAAAUUAAGCUCUCGGAUGACUACACUAAACAGACACUGUAC